rnacentral:rRNA from 1 species
GGAUGAGUUGCGAACGGGUGAGUAACGCGUAGGUAACCUGCCUUGUAGCGGGGGAUAACUAUUGGAAACGAUAGCUAAUACCGCAUAACAAUGGAUGACACAUGUCAUUUAUUUGAAAGGGGCAAUUGCUCCACUACAAGAUGGACCUGCGUUGUAUUAGCUAGUAGGUGAGGUAAUGGCUCACCUAGGCGACGAUACAUAGCCGACCUGAGAGGGUGAUCGGCCACACUGGGACUGAGACACGGCCCAGACUCCUACGGGAGGCAGCAGUAGGGAAUCUUCGGCAAUGGGGGCAACCCUGACCGAGCAACGCCGCGUGAGUGAAGAAGGUUUUCGGAUCGUAAAGCUCUGUUGUAAGUCAAGAACGGGUGUGAGAGUGGAAAGUUCACACUGUGACGGUAGCUUACCAGAAAGGGACGGCUAACUACGUGCCAGCAGCCGCGGUAAUACGUAGGUCCCGAGCGUUGUCCGGAUUUAUUGGGCGUAAAGCGAGCGCAGGCGGUUUGAUAAGUCUGAAGUUAAAGGCUGUGGCUCAACCAUAGUUCGCUUUGGAAACUGUCAAACUUGAGUGCAGAAGGGGAGAGUGGAAUUCCAUGUGUAGCGGUGAAAUGCGUAGAUAUAUGGAGGAACACCGGUGGCGAAAGCGGCUCUCUGGUCUGUAACUGACGCUGAGGCUCGAAAGCGUGGGGAGCGAACAGGAUUAGAUACCCUGGUAGUCCACGCCGUAAACGAUGAGUGCUAGGUGUUGGAUCCUUUCCGGGAUUCAGUGCCGCAGCUAACGCAUUAAGCACUCCGCCUGGGGAGUACGACCGCAAGGUUGAAACUCAAAGGAAUUGACGGGGGCCCGCACAAGCGGUGGAGCAUGUGGUUUAAUUCGAAGCAACGCGAAGAACCUUACCAGGUCUUGACAUCCCGAUGCUAUUUCUAGAGAUAGAAAGUUACUUCGGUACAUCGGUGACAGGUGGUGCAUGGUUGUCGUCAGCUCGUGUCGUGAGAUGUUGGGUUAAGUCCCGCAACGAGCGCAACCCCUAUUGUUAGUUGCCAUCAUUCAGUUGGGCACUCUAGCGAGACUGCCGGUAAUAAACCGGAGGAAGGUGGGGAUGACGUCAAAUCAUCAUGCCCCUUAUGACCUGGGCUACACACGUGCUACAAUGGUUGGUACAACGAGUUGCGAGUCGGUGACGGCGAGCUAAUCUCUUAAAGCCAAUCUCAGUUCGGAUUGUAGGCUGCAACUCGCCUACAUGAAGUCGGAAUCGCUAGUAAUCGCGGAUCAGCACGCCGCGGUGAAUACGUUCCCGGGCCUUGUACACACCGCCCGUCACACCACGAGAGUUUGUA